GAGGGUGUAGCUCAGUGGUAGAGCGCAUGCUUAGCAUGCCCAAGGUCCUGAGUUCAAUCCCCAGUACCCCCA
rfam:Camelus ferus unplaced genomic scaffold scaffold14590, whole genome shotgun sequence.